AGACAAACAUGUGUGGAAGUCUGAGGAAAUAAAGAAACAUCACAAAAUUAGUCAAUCAGUAAAUCCCAUUGAAAAGAGAGAAAUUUCAGGUCAUUUAAUCAACAAGCAUGUUAAUAAAAUUAAGGCGAAAUCAACUAAUGAUUUACUAAAGAUAGUGCAUGCCACAGUAUAUAUUUGUAGAAUAUGGUAAUAGAAACCAAGCAAACAACAGGCAUUUCAGUUUUGAGUGGAAAAUUACAAGUAUUGUAUUUAAGUUCUUUCUUCUUCUCUUAAGUACUCAUAACAUGCACACAUGCAUAGACAAACAAAAAUGUGUACUUAUACAUAUUUAUAAAAGUGAAAGAAUUGAACCCAAAAACUAGGUGAGAGGCCUUCUCCACAUUAAUUCCUGAAAAGAUCACACACAAGCAACUAUUGAAAUGGGAUUUCUCCAAUAAAGAAAAUAUAGAAAGCACUCAAAUACACUACAAAUUUAGGCUUUAACAAUAUGCCUUAUAUGCUGUUAAAAAUUUAAAACAUGUUAUUAAUAAAAAUUAUCAGCGAACACUUAGUGAUGUGCAGAAACCCUGUAACUUAAAGUCUUUAACAGUACUUUUAUAUUAAUUUACAGCAUUGUUGUACAUGAUCUUGUAUAUAUUAUUUAUUACUUUAUGUCUUAUCUUGAUGUCUAAAUAUGUCAUCUUGAUGUUAUUUAUUACUUUAACAUUAUGUACAAAAUGAUGUUAAAAAAGUAUUGUUAAAGUUUAGAUUUGUUGUAGUGAUAGUUGAUAUUCUACUAUAAACUAUCAGAGACUAUGACAUUUAAUGAUAACAUAAUGUUUUCAAGUCAAAUAACAUCUUCAUAUUUCAUUAAUGAUGAUGUCAAAUACAAUGAAGUAUAAAUAUAAUGCUUGAUCAAAUGAGCCCAAACCCUAGCUGAAGUCUAACUAAAAUUUACUUAACCUGCAUAUUUGCGAGAAAAAAGAAAUCCAACAUCCUAAGCAAGGCCUGAACAAAGCUCCUCGUGAAACUAUUUACCAUAGUAAUGAAAGUAUAUAACAUAUAAAUUAUAAAGAUCUACAAAAAAUUCUACUAUUCAAUUCAUACAGUUGUCUUCUAUCAUGAAUGAUGCUGCAGCAGCAGCAGCAGCAAAUUAUGCAGUUUCAACCUUAAUAAUAUGCAGUUGUGAAAUACUGAAGUUUCCAUCCAUUGCCAUUGAACUAGUAGUCUAGCGGUUCGGAAUUUUCAAGUAGAUAGAUUUGAAGCUCCUAAUGAAAAAUCUUCAAUGAGAUUACCUGAAAGGAAGCGUAUAGCGUGAG
rnacentral:misc_RNA from 1 species